UGGCGGCGCGCUAACACAUGCAAGUCGAACGAGCGAGAGAGAGCUUGCUUUCUCGAGCGAGUGGCGAACGGGUGAGUAACGCGUGAGGAACCUGCCUCAAAGAGGGGGACAACAGUUGGAAACGACUGCUAAUACCGCAUAAGCCCACGACCCGGCAUCGGGUAGAGGGAAAAGGAGCAAUCCGCUUUGAGAUGGCCUCGCGUCCGAUUAGCUAGUUGGUGAGGUAACGGCCCACCAAGGCGACGAUCGGUAGCCGGACUGAGAGGUUGAACGGCCACAUUGGGACUGAGACACGGCCCAGACUCCUACGGGAGGCAGCAGUGGGGAAUAUUGCACAAUGGGGGAAACCCUGAUGCAGCGACGCCGCGUGGAGGAAGAAGGUCUUCGGAUUGUAAACUCCUGUUGUUGAGGAAGAUAAUGACGGUACUCAACAAGGAAGUGACGGCUAACUACGUGCCAGCAGCCGCGGUAAAACGUAGGUCACAAGCGUUGUCCGGAAUUACUGGGUGUAAAGGGAGCGCAGGCGGGAAGGCAAGUUGGAAGUGAAAUCCAUGGGCUCAACCCAUGAACUGCUUUCAAAACUGUUUUUCUUGAGUAGUGUAGAGGUAGGCGGAAUUCCCGGUGUAGCGGUGGAAUGCGUAGAUAUCGGGAGGAACACCAGUGGCGAAGGCGGCCUACUGGGCACCAACUGACGCUGAGG
rnacentral:rRNA from 1 species